GAAAUGCGAUAAGUAGUGUGAAUUGCAGAAUUCAGUGAAUCAUCGAAUCUUUGAACGCACAUUGCGCCCCUUGGUAUUCCAUGGGGCAUGCCUGUUCGAGCGUCAUUUGUACCCUCAAGCUCUGCUUGGUGUUGGGUGUUUGUCCCGUCUCCGCGCGUGGACUCGCCCCAAAGUGAUUGGCAGCCGGCGUACUGGUCCCGGAGCGCAGCACAUGUCGCGCAAACGAGUGCCUUGGUACGGCGGCGUCCAUAAGCCCCUCUCUCACGCUCUUGACCUCGGAUCAGGUAGGGAUACCCGCUGGAUUUAAGC
rnacentral:misc_RNA from 1 species